AUCAGUCUCACGAAUCACGUAAUGUGACAGGACCAAACUGCUUUAAGAUCCGUAAAUCGCCAACGAUAUACUCGAUGGUUCGUACUGAUCUUAUCUGGGCCGCCCGGUCGCAGUUGACCCUUUUCUCUCCCGUCACCGACGACCACGCAUCGGGCGGAGGCGAUGGAGAGCACCGUGGAGGCACUGAGCGCUGCCUAUGACGAGUUCGUAGCUGCGGCGGCGGCCGCCCUGGAGGCAAAGGAGCAGUCCGGCGGGCAGAAGACGCCCGUCACCGACGCCGCGCUCGAGGCCUUCAAGCAGCGGUGGGAACUCUUCCGUGUCGCCUGCGACCAGGCCGAGGAGUUCGUCGAGUCCAUGAAGCAGCGCAUCGGCUCCGAGUGCUUAGUCGACGAGGCAACCGGCGCCGCCCCCUCCAAGGCUGGCCGCCCUGCCACGGCACCCGGGAUCCCGCCCAUCAGCGCCGUCCGGCUCGAGCAGAUGAGCAAGGCCGUCAGGUGGCUCGUCAUCGAGCUCCAGAACGGGUCCGGGGUUGGCGCAGCCGCCGCCGCUGCGGCCCAUCCCCAUGUUUCCGCGCCCUUUGACGCCCGGUUCUCCGAGGACGCCGGACAAUAGGUGAGAGGAAGAGGCAAAAUGGUGUUCUCGGAGACAGGACAGCAUCUGCAUUCAGUAUUCAUGCAGAUAAUCUACUCACAAGAAGAACAAAAAAAGUUGUGUCCGAUCCAUCCAGAACGGAUAAUUCUUUGCGGCUCGAAGUGCUUAUUCCAGUGAUAACUUUAGAUGGCACUAAUUGAAUAUGAUUGUCUGGAAGUUUAGCAUGCACCUGGACAUUUCAACAGCCUCUCUAUCGGUGCCUCGUAUCAAAAGGGUUCUUCAGGCGCCGGCCCUCUGCCUCCUCCUUCGUAUACAUUACUCCUCUCGUGACCUUAUUGAACAGACCAGACCCCGGGGGAUCAAUAAGGAAACACUUAAUAUUUGGAUUUUUUUCCUGGAUAAGAAGACAUCAAGAUAGUAGAAGGAUAAAAAAGAAGAGCAAAGCAUUAGAUAUAGCAUAAAAUCUAAUGUACAAACAAUGAUGAACCUUGAGAAACUGUGAUAUUCCAGCAAUCGUGCCACCUGUACCGGCAGCAGCAACAAAGGCAUGCAAUUUCCCUUGAGUUUGCUCCCAUAUCUCAGGACCAGUCCAUUCAUAGUGGGCCCUGAAGUUUGCUAGGUUUUCAAACUGAUCAGCAAAGAAACCACCUUUAUUAUCA